UGAGGAAUAUUGGUCAAUGGGCGAGAGCCUGAACCAGCCAAGUAGCGUGCAGGAUGACGGCCCUAUGGGUUGUAAACUGCUUUUAUAAGGGAAUAAAGUGAGAGUCGUGACUCUUUUUGCAUGUACCUUAUGAAUAAGGACCGGCUAAUUCCGUGCCAGCAGCCGCGGUAAUACGGAAGGUCCGGGCGUUAUCCGGAUUUAUUGGGUUUAAAGGGAGCGUAGGCCGGAGAUUAAGCGUGUUGUGAAAUGUAGACGCUCAACGUCUGCACUGCAGCGCGAACUGGUUUCCUUGAGUACGCACAAAGUGGGCGGAAUUCGUGGUGUAGCGGUGAAAUGCUUAGAUAUCACGAAGAACUCCGAUUGCGAAGGCAGCUCACUGGAGCGCAACUGACGCUGAAGCUCGAAAGUGCGGGUAUCGAACAGGAUUAGAUACCCUGGUAGUCCGCACGGUAAACGAUGGAUGCCCGCUGUUGGUCUGAAUAGGUCAGCGGCCAAGCGAAAGCAUUAAGCAUCCCACCUGGGGAGUACGCCGGCAACGGUGAAACUCAAAGGAAUUGACGGGGGCCCGCACAAGCGGAGGAACAUGUGGUUUAAUUCGAUGAUACGCGAGGAACCUUACCCGGGCUUGAAUUGCAGAGGAAGGAUUUGGAGACAAUGACGCCCUUCGGGGCCUCUGUGAAGGUGCUGCAUGGUUGUCGUCAGCUCGUGCCGUGAGGUGUCGGCUUAAGUGCCAUAACGAGCGCAACCCCUCUCCUUAGUUGCCAUCAGGUCAUGCUGGGCACUCUGGGGACACUGCCACCGUAAGGUGUGAGGAAGGUGGGGAUGACGUCAAAUCAGCACGGCCCUUACGUCCGGGGCUACACACGUGUUACAAUGGCAGGUACAGAGAGACGGUCCCUUGCAAAAGGGAUCAAAUCCUCAAAGCCUGUCUCAGUUCGGACUGGGGUCUGCAACCCGACCCCACGAAGCUGGAUUCGCUAGUAAUCGCGCAUCAGCCAUGGCGCGGUGAAUACGUUCCC
rnacentral:rRNA from 1 species